rnacentral:rRNA from 1 species
UACGUAGGGUGCAAGCGUUGUCCGGAAUUAUUGGGCGUAAAGAGCUCGUAGGCGGUUUGUCGCGUCGAAUGUGAAAACCCGGGGCUCAACCCCGGGCCUGCAUUCGAUACGGGCAGACUAGAGUUCGGUAGGGGAGUCUGGAAUUCCGGGUGUAGCGGUGGAAUGCGUAGAGAUCCGGAGGAAGACCGGUGGCGAAGGCGGUCUGCUGGGCAGUUUCUGACACUGAUGCGCGACAGCGUGGGGAGCAAACAGG